AUGGAUGAUAGUAGUUCGCAGUCUGGCAGCUGCGGAGCAGCGGACGCUCGUUAUGUUAAGGACGUCGCUCACGCAGCUGCGCCUUGCCCUCUUGUUCACCCAGAGGGCUCAUCUUCAAGUGCUAAGUCGGCAGAUCCACCUGCACCAACAUCACGCAUCUCCAUCAAGCAUGCAGCUUGUGUCAUUCAGAAGUUUGACGACUACAAGAAAUGGUUAGUAGAGCAGAUUGGUUUUGGUGGUAUGCUGAAGCUCCCAGCCGUGCAGAAGCUGAGUUUGAAGUGCAGCGCCUGGAUAAUGAGUAGAGUCAGCGUUAGCCGUAGGGAGAUUAAACUUAGGGAUAACAAGGUACUCAGGUUUUUCACCGAGGAUGUGCACAAGGUUUUUGGGAUCCCAUGUGGUCACCGCAGUGUGAAAGGCAGGGAUGCAAUCAUCAAUCCUGAAGCUGUUCAUUUCAUAAAGACAAUACUUCAAAUGGAUAAAACCGGCGUGCACAGCUUGCGGGCUGCUGAAAAUUUUCUGUUGCGCGAUAUCAAUGAGAAUUCAAGCAAGUUGGAGAAGGAUUGUUUCCAGAUUGCAUUUGUCAUCUUUGUUAUGGGUCAUGUACUAGCACCAACUACUAAGCACAACUAUGCCACCAUCGACUACUGGGGGGCGAUUGCAAAUACGGAGGCCAUAGUUCAGUUCAAUUGGUGUGAGUAUGUUCUGUUACAACUUCUGGAUGCAGUCAAGAAGCUGAAGAGUGACAUGCUGGCCAACAAUCAGUCCACCAAUCUAACGGGUUGCCAUUUUUUCUUCCAGAUUUUCUUGUUGGACAACCUUGAUCUCGGCAUUUUAAACAAGCAUCAUAAUGUGCUCCCAAGGAUAUCUGACUUCGACCCAGAGUCAUUUCAUAAAAUGUUGAUUAUGGCUGCUGAUCCAGUGAAAGGAGCUACGUCAUAUUCUCAUGCAAAUCUGAGAGAUGCGUCGAUGGUCUGCUACAUACGGCAGAAGUUUCCCUCAUCUGUUCCGUCGUCAACAACUAGUAGAAGGCUGCCGAGGGGAUGUGCCACGCCUGCAAUAGGAAACCUUCAAUUCACAACUCCCCUAGCACAUUGCGACGCUGGUCAUCAGGUUAACACUGACGGAGCAAUGCCAUCUGCUGCAGCUCCUGGUCCAUUGGAAUUCGCAAAGUACUUACGUGAGAAGUACCCACAUCUUGUAGCGGACGAGAUCACAAUGAUUAUAAAACAGCAGUACGCAUGGGGCCUUAUGCAGUUGACACAAGCCAGCAAUUCUAUCCAGCAGGCUUUGUUACAAGCAAAAAAUGGUUUGCAACUGGAUAUGUACAAGUUUUCAAACCAAGUAAUCAACUCAGUGUCUACCCGCUGUGUAUGUUGUCGUGUGCGUGGUUUCACUGAUUGCCCUCCCUCAGGCACUGCUAAUUCCAAAUCGGUACGUUUUACCACGCCGGUGGCUCACAAAAUUCAGGGGAAAAGGCUAGAACUAUCUGAAUCCGAAGCUACAUCGCCUGUAGCACAAAAUGUUUCGUCGCGCAAGAGAUCCGCUAAUAUGGAGGACUCCGUAUCUAGCAGCAAAAAAAGACGUCAGCAGCAUCUUGCAAUGUCCUCAAUCACUUCAAGUCUUGCCUCAUGUCCCUCGCUGAAAUGUAUGCUGACCUUCCUGCCAACCCCCCUAUAA
rnacentral:rRNA from 1 species